GGUUCCUCCCUCGUGGCAGUCUGGGCUCGAUCUCGGCCGAGUUCGGAAUGAAGGCUGCUCACACUGAGAUGUUUCAGAGGCGACAGGGGCGAGGGGCACUUGCCAGUGCCUGCCCCUGGUAAGAAGCUACGGCUCUGUACCAGGGGCAGGUACCCAACCUACCGUCCCCGGACUGACAUAUGGCAACUCGACCCCUGAACGGAUCACGGACUGUCCCUGGCGACUAACCCCUGCCAGGCCCCCUUUCCCUUCCACCUCCAGGAGCAAACGUCAGCCGAACAUCUUUCCUGUCAGCUCUGCAAGCAUUCCUUGGCCUUCUGGUGCAGCUGCUCCUGUCUAGGCGCGGCCAGAAGAAGGGAAUCACCUCUUUCGUUCGCUGUCUUAAAGAUUGCAGAGAUUAGAUACUUCUUGUAGUCAUUACGUACGAUUUGUGAUUCGAUGAAUUGACAAACUCACCGAUAUCAAACUGUAUUCUAAUCUGUUUAUGUACUCAUAGCGACCAAAAAAGAUACUUGCAUUGUUUCCAUACGAAUACAAUUACGUUGUUCAUUCUCUCUCGGUCAGCGAUGUUUCUGGACGGCGUGUCAUUCCCUGUGUUAAUGUAUUGGUGAAGUUCCUUGUGAUCGUGUAGACUUUCCUCAUUGGACGUAGCACUGUGUUGUAUUCAAGGUACAAUAUGUUGUGCUGCUGUGUGUAUGAGGUUAUCCAAAGUUAUUUCUAUCAUUGUUGAAUAAAUUAUAUUUUCGUUAA
rnacentral:lncRNA from 1 species